AGUCGAGCGGCAGCGGAAGUAGCUUGCUACUUUGCCGGCGAGCGGCGGACGGGUGAGUAAUGUCUGGGAAACUGCCUGAUGGAGGGGGAUAACUACUGGAAACGGUAGCUAAUACCGCAUAACGUCGCAAGACCAAAGAGGGGGACCUUCGGGCCUCUUGCCAUCAGAUGUGCCCAGAUGGGAUUAGCUAGUAGGUGGGGUAACGGCUCACCUAGGCGACGAUCCCUAGCUGGUCUGAGAGGAUGACCAGCCACACUGGAACUGAGACACGGUCCAGACUCCUACGGGAGGCAGCAGUGGGGAAUAUUGCACAAUGGGCGCAAGCCUGAUGCAGCCAUGCCGCGUGUAUGAAGAAGGCCUUCGGGUUGUAAAGUACUUUCAGCGGGGAGGAAGGCGUUGAGGUUAAUAACCUCAGCGAUUGACGUUACCCGCAGAAGAAGCACCGGCUAACUCCGUGCCAGCAGCCGCGGUAAUACGGAGGGUGCAAGCGUUAAUCGGAAUUACUGGGCGUAAAGCGCACGCAGGCGGUCUGUCAAGUCGGAUGUGAAAUCCCCGGGCUCAACCUGGGAACUGCAUUCGAAACUGGCAGGCUAGAGUCUUGUAGAGGGGGGUGGAAUUCCAGGUGUAGCGGUGAAAUGCGUAGAGAUCUGGAGGAACACCGGUGGCGAAGGCGGCCCCCUGGACAAAGACUGACGCUCAGGUGCGAAAGCGU
rnacentral:rRNA from 1 species